rnacentral:rRNA from 1 species
GAUGAACGCUAGCGACAGGCUUAACACAUGCAAGUCGAGGGGCAGCGAGAAAGUGCUUGCACUUUUGUCGGCGACCGGCGCACGGGUGAGUAACACGUAUGCAACCUGCCCUUGUCAGGGGGAUAAGCGGGGGAAACCCCGUCUAAUACCGCAUAUAUGAUUUGGAGGCAUCCUUUUAGUAUUAAAGAUUUAUCGGCAACGGAUGGGCAUGCGGCGCAUUAGCUAGUUGGUGAGGUAACGGCUCACCAAGGGCAACGAUGCUAGGGGUUCUGAGAGGAAGGUCCCCCANACUGGUACUGAGACACGGACCAGACUCCUA